CAGGCAAGCUGCAGGGCAGGGUCUACCUGCCUCAAUGGAGGGAGUCUCCUACGACUAGGAAAUGGCAAGGCCAGUCUUCAUCCUCGCUCUCAGCUCAACUCUAAAGGUCCAGCGCCGGUGGAGUUAAUUCUCUGAAGGUGAACAUUUCCAAGUUAUUCUUCAAAUAUUAAAUCUGUCGCUAUAUAUAAUGGUCUCUUGGUUCUACUCAUUUCACUCUUCAUUCUCUCAUGUAGUUCUUUCCAAGUUUUAAAAAAAUGAAUACCCAAAGGACUUUAAAAGACUGCCUGCCCUUUGAUCCAGCCAUAGCACUGCUGGGUUUGUACCCCAAAGAGAUAAUAAGGAAAAAGACUUGUACAAAAAUAUUCAUAGCUGCGCUCUUUGUGGUGGCCAAAAAUUAGAAAACGAGGGGAUGCCCAUCAAUUGGGGAAUGGCUGAACACAUUGUGGUAUCUGUUGGUGAUGGAAUACUAUUGUGCUCAAAGGAAUGAUGAACUGGAGGAAUUCCAUGGAGACUGGAACAACCUCCAUGAACUGAUGCAGAGCGAGAGGAGCAGAACCAGGAGAACAUUGUACACAGAGACUGAACACUGUGGCACAAUCCAAUGUAACUGACUUCUCUACUAGCAAUGAUCCAGGACAAUUCUGAGGGACUUAUGAGAAAGAUGCUCUCUACAUCCCGAGGAAGAACUGUGGGAGCAGAAAUGCCACUGUUUGAUCUCACGGUUUGAUGGGGAUAGGACUGGGGAUGUUGACUUUAAAUGAUCACUCUACUGCAAAUAGUAAUAAUAUGGAAAUAGGUUUUGAACAAUGAUACAUGUCAAACCCAGUGGAAUUGCUUGUUGGCUGGGGGAGAGGAGGGAAAGAACAUGAAUAAUGGAACCAUGGAAAAAUAUUCUAAAUUAAUUAAUUAAAUAAAUUUAUAAAAAUUACCAAGAAAAAA